UUUCGCAAUGCCCGAAAGGGUGACGAAGCGACGCCGCGUGUGGGAAGAAGGCCUUCGGGUUGUAAACCGCUGUUGGGAGUUAGGAAGUGUGGGAGUGUUAAUAGCGCUUCCACUUGACUAAAGCUCCAGAGGAAGCCACGGCUAACUCUGUGCCAGCAGCCGCGGUAAUACAGAGGCGGCAAGCGUUGUUCGGAAUUAUUGGGCGUAAAGAGCACGUAGGCGGCUCUGCAAGUCAGCUGUGAAAGCCUUCUGCUUAACGGAAGAACAGCAGUUGAAACUACAGGGCUUGAGUGCGGGAGGGGAGAGUGGAACUUCUGGUGGAGCGGUGAAAUGCGUAGAUAUCAGAAGGAACGCCGGCGGCGAAAGCGGCUCUCUGGUCCGUAACAGACGCUGAGUGUGCGAAAGCUAGGGGAGCAAACGGGAUUAGAUACCCCGGUAGUCCUAGCCGUAAACGAUGGGCACUAAGUAGAGGGGUUUU
rnacentral:rRNA from 1 species